ACCUAACAAGAGUGAGCCCUCAGCUGUCUGAGCACCAGGACCAGCUUCAUACCUUUCCUACUCAUGGCCUAUUUUUCAGUGCCAUCCAACGUCCAUUUCAACACUGGGUGUAGGUACAGGAGGCCCCACCCAGAAUCAGUGAAGAUGUGAGCUGGUUUUGUCUGUUCACAUUCCUAGGCCUGUGCUACAGGUAGUCCAACUUGAUCAGGGCAGCGUAGCCCAUGUAGGUAGUCCUGGGUAGCUCCCAAAGGCAACAUGGUACCUGUCCUAAGCCUAUGGCUUACAGCUUACUCCAUUCCUGAUCUCUAAAAUGACACAGAGGAUUCUUCCAAGACUGUCUAAGAAUUGUAUAGAUGUUGGACCCACCUCUCUUCCUGCCUCCCAGAACAUCCCAGUCAUGUUCUAGGCUAUGUGGAGUCAUCAGUGAGCAAAAUAGAAUAAGACUUCUAUUCUCACCUUUUUCCAUUCCUAUGUCAAAGACAGUCAAGACAAAACACGAGAAGAUAGACUAAGCCAGACUAAACGAGUACUAAGUGAAAACCAAAGGCUGAAUUUUAGGACAUUCGGAAAGAAGGUAAACUUGAACAGAGCCCACAAAGGGGUGAAACGGGAAGUUAGGGCUGAGCAGAGAAUUGCACACACACAGGUGAGACAUUUAUGUGUCUUACAUAAUGGGAGGAGGGAAGAGGACUGGGUCCCAAGUUUAGUCCUAGAGAACUCCUCAGGCCAUGGCCAAUGCUCUACCUUCUACUCUAAGUUAAGUAGUGUGCACAUGGUGAGCUGCGAUAGCCAGCACAGAUUCACAAACACUGACUAGUACCUCUCUCUGGUUCCAACUUCUCAGACAUCAUGAGUUUCCAGACUCAACUUGGGCAAUGUUGGGAAUAUUUACACUAAAAAAUUAGCAAAUAUUACGAGCUAGGACCUUGGGUUUUUUUUUUCUUCUUUAUUUCAUUUUCAUAGAACCAGAUUUAAAAAAAAAAA
rnacentral:lncRNA from 1 species